rnacentral:ncRNA from 1 species
CGCGAGAGAGCUGUGUGCUUAACGUCAGGCAGCCGCCGAAGAUGCAAGCUGUAUUUCAGAAUGUUACAUAGGAAGACGGUGAAACUUUCAGGCAAAAGGAUCGAAAA